AUUAAGAGUUCUAUUUGAAAAUUUUCAGUCUAUCGAAGCAAAUUUCAUCAUGAAGCUAGGAAGCAUUCUCCUAAUGGUGUGUGUUUUGCUUGCCCUCUUGAGCCACACUUACGGAUCUCCUACACCUAUAAGAGAUGCAGAUGAUGUUGAAUUUUGUCCUAAAAGUUUGAAUACAUCAGGAAAGUGUAGCGACACAUCUCGAACCUGUUUUGACGAACUCAAUUCUGCAUAUGGAGCAAGUGGCAUGGCUCAUCAAUGUACUUGUAAAGAUCUUGCCGAUAAUAAACGCCUUUGCACAUGUUUAAUUAACAAAGUUUAUUGUAAAAAUUAGUCAUUUUGAUGACAAACUAAAAUGUAAUAACAUUAUAAAUUUAAUAAAAUUUAAUAAUGUUAUGAUGUCCUAA